GAAUAAAUCAGAGCUCUUCUCUUCACCCGUGGCCCCAGGUGUGAGUGGACCACCCCCAGAUGCCUCUAGUUGUAAUCGUUUACAGAAAUCUACCUGGAAGGUGGAUUGGGUUUUGGAUCUGCAGCAGGAGAGAGAACUGGCCCUGCUGGGAUCAGGAGAGCUGCCCCUGCCCUCACCUGCUGCAAGACUCAAGAUAGCAGACCCUGCACCUCACCUGGAAAGCACAGGAGAGCUGACCCUGGUGGCCUGUACUUUCUUUACUUACCUUUGCCGACCAAUGUGAUGAGUUCUCCGUAUGGGCCACCACUUGCCGCUGUCCCACUCCGACGGAGACAAGAACAACACGGACACCAAGAACUUCACGAAGCUGUUAAAUGCAUUGGACCAUGGUGUUUGGAGAAAUCAAAAUCUGUCCCCAGGCCAUGGCCAUUCAGAUCUGGUUCCGUCUCUUCUUUCUUGGAAGUGAGAGCUGUUUCCUUCAACGGAGCGAAGCAACUGGCCUCGCUAAAAUACUCGUGAUCAGGAAACACCUAGUAAGAGCUGGAGAGAUGGCUCAGUGGUUACGAGCACUGACUGCUUUUUCAGAGGACCUUGGUUUGAGUCCCAGCACCCACAUAACUGUAUGUACCUCCAGUUUCGGUGGUCUGUUGCCCUCUUCUGCCCUCUGCAGACACACAUGUG
ensembl:processed_transcript Gm12861 predicted gene 12861